AAAGGGUGCGUAGGUGGCCUGUUAAGUCAGGGGUGAAAGACGGUAGCUCAACUAUCGCAGUGCCCUUGAUACUGAUGGGCUUGAAUGAACUAGAGGUAGGCGGAAUGUGACAAGUAGCGGUGAAAUGCAUAGAUAUGUCACAGAACACCAAUUGCGAAGGCAGCUUACUAUGGUUUUAUUGACACUGAGGCACGAAAGCGUGGGGAUCAAACAGGAUUAGAUACCCCUGU
rnacentral:rRNA from 1 species